rnacentral:tRNA from 1 species
GGGCCUAUAGCCAGGGUUAGAGCGCACGCCUGAUGCUGUGAGGUCAAUGGUUCAAAUCCAUUUAGGCCCACCA